UUAGGGGGACCUAGUCCCCCUCUUCCUCCAGAUAUAAAGCAACAGGUUUUAAAAAUAUCUCGAGCUGUGUAAUUGGAAAGAUGGCAAUGCUGCCCUCAUAGGGGUGGGGGUGGGAGUCUGUUCAUGGAGUAGCCACUGGGCAGUUUUAUUCCCAUCUUGCUUGACAGGGUCUGCUGGACCGGGUGAUUGGGAGGUUGGGGCAUGAGGAGCAAAACAUGAAGUUAUGACAACAUGCAUGACGGUCUAUGGUGCAAUGUGGCUUAGGGGGCUACUUCCUGUGAUGUCAUAGGCUAUGUCCUGUGACUUCACAAGUGUCUACCAGAGAAGUAGUAUGCUGCUUCCUGUGAGGUGGGAAGCUACUUCCUGUGAUGCCACAGGCUACAUCCUAUGACAUCACAAGUGUCUACCAGAGAAGUAGUAUGCUACUUCCUGUGAGGUAGGAGACUACUUCCUGUGAUGCCAUAGGCUACAUCCUGCGACAUCACAAGUGUCAAUCAAUGAUGUAGUAUGCUACUUCUUGUGGUAUAGAAGGCUACUUUUUGUGGUGUCAUAGGCUACAUCCUGUGACAUCACAAGUGUCUAUCGGUGAUGUAGUAUGUUACUUCCCGUGGUGUAGGAGGAUAUUUCCUGUUAUGUAAACGCUGGCCUGUAGCAUGUCAGGCUGCUUCCUGUGAACUCAUAGGCUCCUUCCUGUGACAUCAAAGGUUGCUUCCUAUGAUGUCAUAGGCUGCUUCCUAUGAUGCAUCCAGGUGUGGUUUUAUUUUCCUUCUGGGCUGUUGUGCUAAUGUGGGUGUCACACCUGCCUAUUGAGGAAUCCCUUCCCCCACAUGCGCCGGGAACGUGCGCGGCAGAGCCCUUCCCGCCAGAGCAGCGACAGGGCAGGGAGCCGAGCCAUCCCUGCCACUCACACAGGCCCCAGGGGCUGGCACGGCCAGGGGACCGAAGCACCAGCCAGCUGCCUCCCUGCAGCGACCACUCAGUAUUAAAGCCCGACGGGGGCUGUGGGUAUUUUCUCAGCAUGGGGAUAUUUUCUCAGCAUAAGAUUUCAGCAUCUUAUCAACCUUUGAACCUCACAACCUCCCCUCCCCCAUUGCUCCAGGGAAGGAACGUUGCUCCUUGCCCUCUUCCUGGCCCCUCCCCCGGAUCUCCUGGAAAGAUCGUGCAAGUAUUAUUGCCCCGAGCCGGUUGGUUUGGGCAAAUUCAAGGGCUGCUGGCAGCACGGCCUGUGGGCAGCGCAAACAGGACCUGGCUUCACAUAUCAGUGACUCUGGGCAGUGUUGCGAGAGCCAGAUGCCCAGUAGCUCCAGGCGCGUGCCGGCGUAUCCAUUAGCCUCUGGGCUAGCACAGGGAUCAGGCCCAGUAGCCCUUGGGCUAGCGCUGGGGCAUCCAGGAGCUAUUCUGGGAUCAAAUCAGAGGGGCCAUUCUCCUUGCCAUGUUUACAGCUGCCCCCUUUUUAAUGCACCACUUUUCCCAGCCCCACCCCCAAAAUGUUUUCCUUUUGACCAGCUCCCACCACUGUGUGCACUGGCUUUGAUUGUAGGGUUUCUCCGGAGUGCCCCGCUGCAGGCUGGCUUGUUAUUGUAGGGUCUUUUGGAAACUUCUGGCUGCACAGGCUGGUUUGUUAUUGUAAUGUCAUUCAUGUGUGUUAGGAUCCUUACACUGGCUUGUUAUUGUAGGGUCGCUCAGGAGCCCUGGGUUGUAUACGCUGGCUUGUUAUUGUAGGGUCGCUCAGGAGCCUUGGGUUGUAUAUGCUGGUUUGCUUCCAGAGGGUUGUUUGUGAGCCUGGGGCUGCGUUGGCUGGUUUGUUAUCAGAGCAGUGGGCAGGAAUCCUUUCCACUUAGAAGAGGAAAGAGUAAAAUAACCAUAUCGCCAGUGAGUGUCUCUGUGCCGCUGCCGUGCUCGGAGAGACCCCCAGCGCCCAGACCCUGUGCCCGGGGAGGCAGGCUGUCGGCUGGUGCUUCACAGGCCCAAAUGCAGACACAGCCUCUGGAAAGUUCCCUGCCUCCCUCCGAGCCCUGCAUGAACCACAUUGCCCUAGAGAACUCCCCUGCCCCACAGACCACCCCCCACCUGACCCUGCAGCCCGAGGGAGCCCGAACCCCCUUUAGCAUUGGCACUUAUCCCAUUAUCCUCCCAGCCUCAGGCACUUACCCCAUAACACCCCGCCCAGAGCCCACCGGACUCCCUCCCCACCAUGUUGAGCUGUGGAUUUGUGCAAUAUUUUACCCUGACCCCCGGCUGGCCGUCAGCCCCGGCACAAGCGGCUUUCCAUGGCACUUUGCAGUCUCCAGAGCUCACCGGCAAGGCACUGAGGGAGCGGCUGUCUCCAUCUUGCUCUGGCAGGUAGACAGUCGGAUCAGAAUGGGGACAGACUCUGGACGGGGCUAGUGGUGGGGCUGGGAUUUGGGGAGGGGAGAGGAGUCCCUCUGUGUUCGUUGGCAGAGAUCAAUCGUUUUCCAUUUGUUCGUGGGGGAGCGGGGAGGGGGGAGGGAAGGGGGUUUGUAACCUUUUAAACUAGGGAACAAAACAAAUGUGAAAAUAUUUACUACUUAAAAGGAAGCAAUAUUUAAGUAGCAUCUUGCACUGAAUCUUGGAGCUGGCAUGAGAGGCAGAGGCAGGAAAACCGGCCUUUUACAGGGGCCGGGCCAGAUCUUGUGCUGGGGUAAAUUAGCCUUGCUCCUCCCACGUGGGGAGCUCCGCCCAUUCCUGCCAGCUGUGGGAGCAGCCCGCAUGGGUCUGGGAACUUGCGUGUCGAACAAAACGUGCUGCUGCAGUCUUACGGUGGAAGUAUUGCAUAUCAGCCUUUGUGGCGGGAGGAGGGAGGAGGGAGGUGGUUUUUGUGCCAAACUAUUUGUCUGUCUUUUUCGAUACAUGCUUGCCGAGGGGGUUCCCCCAAAUUAUCACCCAAACUACCCUGCUGGUGGUGCUCACACCGCCCAAGACUAUGCUGCAAAACCUACCCUACACUGGGUAACACCGGGGGAGUUUCACAUGGUAUCCUCACUGAAAAGACUACAGUCAUAUCCGAAAAUUCGACAGUAACACCCUAACACUACAAUGCCUUGGCAUGUUUUUGUAACGAUACCCAAAUAAAAGUACUACAGCAAUCUCCUAAAAUCCCACAGUGACCACCCAACGUACUCUCGUAUGAUCAGUUAGGCUGUGAUUUCAUAAAGAUGCCCUUCUAAAAGCACAAGAGUAAUAGUCUAUCAUACUACAACCCCCCAAAAUACUUCAGUAACACGACGAUAACCUGGACUGUUUUCAUAAAGGUACUCGUGCGAACAUGCGACAGGAAUACCCUAAAAUACUGCAGUAGCAUUAACCUGCACUGUUCUUCAGACACUGUGGUAGCAAGAUGUCAGGAUAACCUUGUAAAAAGAAAUGUUCCAACAUUCUUCAAUGCUGCCCCAAAUCCCGCAUGGAGAAUCAGCCACAUAGUUGUGUGAUUUUCCAAUUCUUCACACAAAACUAUUUUGGUUUUUGUCACGGGUCCAAUUUUUCUAAAGAUGCUUUUCCUCCAAAAAAAGUCACUUUACGCUUGCCAUGUUUCUGGCCAGCUCCUUGGAACCGAUCAGUUUCCAUGCAAGAGGGGAUCUAUUAUGCAGCAUCAAAAAUGUAUUUACCUGACAUUAGAGAAUCAUAGAGUACUAAAACUGCGAGGAACUUCAAGAGGGUCUUCCAGCUCUGGGCGGGGAGAGAGGAGUGAGGGCAAAAGGGCUGCGGGAGGACGGGUGAGUAAGAAAUGUGGGGCUCCAUGCCCCAGUGUGCGAGAGGGGUGUGGGGAAAGGAGGGGAGACAGGGGGUCCAUGGCUGCAGGUUGCCCACACCUGACCUCGACCGUCCCUGACAGAUGUCCGUCUAACCUGCUCUUAAAAAUCUCCAACGAUGGAGACUCCACAAACUCCCUAGGCAAUGUAUCCCGGUGCUUCACCACCCUGACAGGAAGUCUUUCCUAAUGUCCAACCUAAACCUCUCUUGCUGCAAUUUGAGAUUGCCCAUUUUAACCCCCCCCCCCCUGAGUUCUUAUGUAUUAGCGGUAUUAUAACAUCUGGGAGCCCCAAUCAUGAGCCGGGGUCCCCUUGUGUCAGGCGCUGUAUAUCAGAUGUACGAUUGCGACACCUGCGGGUCCCAGUCAUGGGCCAGAUCCACUUCAUGCCCGGUGCUGCCCAAACAUAGAAUAGACUGGUGUCCACUGCCACGAUUAAACAAAUCUUUCCUGAGCAACUAGGAAGAUGAAAAAUCCAUCAAAUUCCAAAUGAAUCAGGCCAAAAAUAGCUUCCAGAUUUUCCAAAUCCCAUGACAUUUCUUUCCUCCACUGCUGGAGCUAGCCGUUUAGUGAGAUGUAGUAUUUGGGGUGAUCACUCUGCAGUGCCGUGGGAGUUUUGGAUGAUCAGGAUAGCUGAAUAAAAAAUACCCUUAUAAAAAUACUGUGGCAUCAUUCAGUAACUGGGCAAAAUGCUGCAGGAAGAUUACCAUACGUUGUAGCCUGUUCGGAUUAGCGCCCGAGUGCUGUCGAGUUUCGGAUCAUCUGCAGGAUGCUGUAAGUCUAACCCCGCUGUGCUACACAGCAUGGGGGGAGGGAUGUCAUGCACGCACACUGCUGUAAUUUGGGGUCCAUCCUGCAGAAUGUGGUGAGUUACGCUCCAAAACAAUUCCAAUUGUAAAUUAUUUCUCUCGCGCUCAUCUGGAAAACCGCCCCGUGCUUGUUUUAAGGUACAGCCUGUGGCAAAGUCAAUAUUCAGAUACGGGCGUGUUUGUGGCUCGUCGCUAAAGGCAGUGAUGGGUAGAGAAUUGGAGUCAAAUUAGUCUGCGCUGCUCUGUGCCUCAGUUUCCCCAUUUGUAUAGUAAAAACAGCAGCUUCUUUUGCAGCGCGUUUGGAGCGCUCUAGAAGGGCAAAACCCUGGUGGCACUAUUGCUCACAGCAAACCCUUAGAAAAUACGAGCGUUCACCAGGACUGUCCCAAAAUACGGCAGCGUGUGCAGCAUCUUGAGGCUAAGGUGGAGUAUUCCAGGCCCUUCCUAGGGGAUCCGUUCCCUCUGCGGCAUCUAUCUGAAAAAGACCGGACUGUUUUUUUGAAGUGCCAAACUUUUUAUUUAUAGAGAACAUGCAGCUACUGAAAGGGGGGGGGGGAGAGAAUGAAGUUUUUAGAUGUUCUACAAGAUUUAAAAAAAAAAUUAAAAAGGGAAAAAAAAUAAUAUAGCGACGUAAAUAAACGAUAGCUCGUGUUAGUGGAUCUGAACCCUGGGUCCUUUCUUAGCCGCUUUUGAAGAAUAUUAAAUAAAAUAAGUAUAAAACGCAUCAUAAAUGGAAAGAGAGAGUCAUGGGGCCGGGUUGCCCAAGGGCGUUAGGCACAUGGCUGCAAUUUUUUUGGUGCCUAAUUCUCUUGGACCCUUGGGCCCCAGGUCUCUAGGCUGUCUGUCUCAGUGACUAGGGAGCGAGACCUCUCCCGAGUGCUGGUCCUAUGUGUGUCCUGCCUGGUGGCUCCAGGGGACACCUUGCAGUGUCUUGUGUCUCCUCUUCCUCCCCCUUGCUGCUGUCUUGUGGCCCCGAGGGUAGGGGCUGGGGCUGGCAUUCUGAAACACCAGCAGGGCGCUGGGGCCGCUGUAACUCGGUCUGCGCCCGUGGGUGACUCCAGGGUGCAGGGACCGGAGGAGAGAGGCAAAGGCUGUUGUUUGUGGGCGGGGAAGCCGAGCGCGGUCCCCUUGGAAAUCCACCUCCGGCUGCCGUCAGGGGUGGGAAGUGCUUGGAAGUGGGAGAGCCGGCCUGCCCACCACUCGAGGGGCGCUCCCCCAGCCAGCUGGCCCCUCCAGCCACGGUGCGAGCCCUUAGCAGCCCCUCCAGUUUAGGCUCUGUCUUGUCCCGUGGGCAUCAAAGCCAGGCCUGUGGGGGCGAGGUUGAGGGGCCAGGUCCCAACUCCCCCUUGGCCUGUGGGGGGCCAGGAGUGGCUUUGGGAAGAACAGCCCCUGGCCAACUGGUGCAGAAGCCGUUCCCCAGGGGCCAGGCAAGAUCUGCUGCUGGUGGAGGACCAGCCAGAGGCCUGGAUGUGGGUCCCCCACUUUUUCUACCCUUCCCGCCGUCUAAACAGACGCGCCUGCUUCUGCCCCACACCGCUCUGGCUCUGGGAGCGUUUGCAGUGCCAAAUGGAAGUCGUGCUCGCUCUCCCCGGCCUCCACCCUCAGCGGAGCGUGGGGGGCGCUCUUGGGGGAGGGGAGGCCACUCCGGUUGGCGGCGCUGGGGCGCCCCCUCUUGUAUUUAUAGGCAAUAAAAGUCCAAGACUGGAGCAGGAGGGGCGGGGUGGAGACAAGCUUGUGCUUUGCUCUGAGCCGGCUCCGGGUCCCCCUGUGCUGUGCGUGAGCGCCUUGGGACACUGCGUCUCUGUCUGGGAGUCUACCUAUAACCCGCACGCCCCGGGAGUGGGGGGGGGGCAGGAUCUCAGCUGGGAGGGGCGGACAGGCACCCCUGUCUUGUUUCCAUUUGCUCACCAGUACCUGUUCUCUCGCAUCUACCAUGUCACUGUUUGAUCUCCCAGAACGUGAUACUGACGAGAGCAGAAGGAGGCACCAGCCCGCUCUGUCCCCGACCCCUUGUGUUUGUCUCUCGAAAUAGCCCCUGAUCAUUCUAACUCCCUUUUAAUUUCUGUCCGGACAUCCAUCUGGAGCACCCCUCCAUACACAUCGAUGAGUUCAGACACACUGGCAACACACAAAUCUCUAUAAAUAUAUAUAGCCACACUAUAUAUAUCUAUAUAUCCAAAAGCCUACACAGCGAGGGACUAAAGACACAGUAGCCGGCUACCUCGGGACUGCUUUUCUAAAUCCACACUCAUCUCCUCUGCAUCGAGAACAUUUCUAAGCUGGUUGCUUCUCAGAGACAACCUGUCACCAAACUCUGCCUCAUCUGAACGGGAUUCAUCUCGACUUUUUGUCGCUGCUGCGGAGAGCCAUCCUGUUUCCAACCACCGUCUCCUGAACUUUUGACCUCCACCCCACCCUCAUCUUGAACUUUUUAACGCCCCCUCCACUUCCCCACCCCCCUUUUUCUGUGUCCAUCAACUCUGUUUUCUGGAUUUUUUUUCCCCCUCCCUCCCCCGCAUCUUCCAUGUUAAAAAGAUCAACCAAGAAAUUCUAUAUCUGACGAGUCUCUUUCUAGAGCAAUAGAUAUAGAAAGGAAGCAAAACAAAGACUGUUGAAUGGUCACCCAUAAUCUAUUCACUUGGACUGUCAGAGCCAUCUCAUUUUUUCCCAGGGAUGAGGGGUGGGGAAUGGUUUUUUUCCCCCCUUCCCUUUAAUCUCAUUGCUUCAUUGUAAAUACUCAGUUUUGUUCAAAUGUCAGAGGGAGAAACCUUUUGCGUUCAAGGUCCAAGAGGAGCUGAUGCAUAAAAAUGUUGGUGCUUGGAUGGACAGGGUAGGGUGACGCUGUCUCAGAAAAAGAGGCUUUUGUGGGGAAGAAACCUGGCAGGUGACUCUAACCACUCCCCGGCCACAUGGUCAGGCAGCUGUGCUGAGAAUCAAGCCAAACAAGGAUGUAUGGCUGGAGGAUGUUGUGAAGGCCAAGACUAUAACAGGGACUAGAUACAUUCACAGAGGAUUGGUCCAUUAGUGGCUGUUAGCCAUGCCAGGCAGGGAUGCUUAGCAGAAGCUGGGAACAGGUGACAGGGGAUGGUUCCGUGUUCUGUUCCCUCCCUCUGGGGCCCCGCACUGGCUGCUGCCGGCCGACAGGGUUUCAGAGAGGAAGGCAGGAGAGUCUGGUUCAGCCAAGCCAACGAGCAGUCCGGUGGCACGUUACAGACCAGCGAAUGCGUGCAGGCGUGCGCGUUCGGGGGCUACAACGCGCUUCGUCGGGAUUUCGGAAAAGGCAGCGUGAUUCAUUAGGAAUCCGUGCUAAUUACACCAGGGCUGCCCAGCCUCUGGGGAAGUGAACUGUCGCUCACGAACGCAUCUGCCCGUAAAGAAUUCCUUAAAGGGCCACCGGACUGCUUGUUGGCAGACAGGGCCCUGGGUUAGAUGAUCUGGCCCCGUCUGGCUGCUCUUAUGGA